GCUGCCACCACGCUUCCUGAUGCGCUGCUUUCAGCACCACAAGUGCACGCAAGAUAUGGCUAUAGAUCAACAGCCACAGCUCAACAUCAAUGUAUCUACUCUGUGCGAAUGGGGGGCCCAACAGGAAGAAGCACGGCAGAAGUUCAACCAACACAUGUGAGAAGGUCAACUCAGGUUGUCGUCGUGACUACACUUCCUGACCCAACCAGUUACCCCCGCUUUUACUUUCUACAGAGCACAGACAUUUCAUAACCGGGAAAACCGAUUUGGCCCUGAGACUCCGUGGUCCCUGUGACAACCGCGUGGGAACCGAGGUGGAUGGCAGCCAAGCACACACAUCUGGAAGGAUCCAUCCCAGAGGUCAAAGGAGUUUAUUGAGGCCGCUGCCAUCACAGAGCCCAUCCCUCCACCUCAAGCACCUCUUCUGAAUUGGUAGCCCUAAGCCACCCAAUCCCCAGGAAGAUAGAAAGAUUAACCAUCGACUGAUGGUUUAAAAUUGUUGAUGCCUUUUUGUAAUGUGCAAUAUUAUUUCCAUUAAAUCACUGGUUCUUGUUUGUAUGAUAUUUAUUAGGGGUGUGCAUCACCAUCUCUUCUUUACAGGACGAUCCAAUACGUAUCUAGAUACAUGUGCUACGAUACGGUUCAGGGACGAUACAUUUUACACUUUUUCUCAGUCGCUUUGGUACAUUUCUCAGAUCAGAAUUGAAAUUGGCAAAACAGUAAGUGCAUUUCUCAAAACAAUUCGUACAAAUAGCAAAACUCCAUUGAUUUCAUGUAAAAGCAAGUCUCUUGCUCAAAAUCCUUUGUUCGUUUCUCAAAAGUAAAUAUCUGUGUCAAUGAACAUGUCAGUGCCAUCAAAAUGACAAGUCCUUGUGUCAUUGUGUAUGGAUAAGACAGUCAAAUUGCUUAGUCAUGUUGUGAAUAUAACAGUGGGAUGUUCUGAUGUAAACCAUGGCUAAAGUUUUGAAGACAAUUAUUGUCAAUUGUAAGUUACACCUUAGUGUAUGUGGGAGAUUGAUUGCAAGAGACAGAACAAGAUUCACAUUUACGCUUUGACUGUUUGUACUGUAAUUUGUUGACAGACCAUGUCAUUGCUAGAAAUGUGAACAUAGGAAAAUCUUCUUAUGGUAAACUGUACAUGCAUUGCUGUAGGAAUAACAGUGCAGUCAUCCACUCCUGACGUUCUUGUCUGUUGGGCCACAAAUUCUCAGACAAUGUUACAUUGUGUUAUGCUCCAGCUAUAUACUUUAUAUACUUGCCAGUUCAUGGUUCAGGAGAUGCACCUUUGAACUAUUCCAGUAAACUGGUUGAUCGUUGGUUGAUCUAACACUUCACACAUUUCCCUUCUUUAGAGAAAGUCAAGAUUCACCUGGUAGCAAUUUACCAAUUCAGGACAGAUUUAGAAAAAAAGUCUGAUGGAAAUGUUUAGAAAUAUGCUUGAAAUAUUAUGACAACAUGUUCAACCAUUUUGCAUGUAAAGAUUUAUGCAAUGAACUAAUGCCUAAAUGUUUUUGGGGUGAGACUAUUCAAUGGAGACCCAUUACAAUACAUUUUGAUCAACAUGACGUAAGCAAUGUUGAAUUCUCAUUCAAAGAAAUGAGAAACUGCUUUUUGGAUGUGCACAAACGACAGAAUGAUGUGAAGAUUGAACAGGUUGUUUUGAGAAUUUCAAUUCUGAUCUGAGAAAUGUACCAAAGCGACUGAGAAAAACUGUUCCAAUUGGAUGGCAACCGGAUACCGUGGAUGGCUUACUACCUCAAGUUCUAUGUUUAUUCUGGUUUCAUAUAUUAUGUUGAUCUUGUAUAAUGUUUGAUCCAAAAUAAAGUUUCUGCAGUUUCUAACAGAUUGUGAGCAUGAAUAAUGUUGUUAUCUAAUCAUACCGUGCUUUUCCAUGUGGGUAAGGUUGCAUUCCUAAGACAUUCGAACUAUAAAGGAAAAUUUCAGAGAUGGA
ensembl:lncRNA